AUCAGGUAUGCUUGUGCUCCCUUUAAUCCCAGCAGAUCUCUGAGUUGGGACCAGCCUGGUCUAUAUAGUGAGCUCCAGGCCAGCCAAGGCUACACAUUGAAACCCUGUCUCAAGCCAAAAUUAAACACACACCAAAAAUAAGAAUAUUUGAACUCAGGACCUUUGGAAGAGCAGUCAGUGCUCUUAACCGCUGAGCCAUCUCACCAGCACCAGGUCCUAAGUUAUGCAGAAGUCAUCUGAUGUUGCCUGUUGACUCCAUACAGUAACACAUGGACAAAUCGAUACUCACGUGGCACACACCAGCAUAUAAUACACAUACACACACACACACACACACACACACACACUAUUUAAGAUUUAGGCAGGUGUGGUGGCACACACUUGUAAUUUCAGUACUCGGGCAACUGAGGGAAGACAAUCGUGAGUUCAAGGCUAGUCUGGAUUUCAUAAGGUUCUCUCUCAAAAACAAACUGGAAGAUGUUAAAUAGGCAAGGCUAUAGAGGUGGAGCACUUCCUUGCAUGACCGAAGGCCUAGACUUGAGCCCCAACACCACAAAUAAAUGAAAGUGACCCAUCACUGCACGCAGUCAUAUCACUGUCCUGCGAGGCACACAGCCCAGAAGCAGUUUGUUCCCUGUGUUGCGCAUGAGCAGCACAUGAAGUCACGGUGCAUCUAUAAAGACCCCAUCUUAGCUUCCUGGGAAUUGUCCAACCACAGGAGACUGGCUGGCUGUGUGUACUCUCGGCUGGGAGCUAUAGCUGCACGAAAAGCAGGCAUGUGAGUAGUGGUGGCAGCCUCUUGGCUAUUGGAGCAGAAAGUAGCAGGAAGGCUUAAGAGGACAGAGUUAACACAGGCUCUAGGGUGAAGCUGGAAUACCAGCUUCUUAGCAUCACAUCACCACCAACCAGAUCACCACCAACCAGGAACCCAGAUGCUUUGCUUUGCUUUGUGGUUCUUUUGGGUUUGUUUAUUUUUUGUUGGUUUGGUUUGGUCUGUUAGUUUGUUUUUUGAGACAGAGACUCACUAUGUAGCUAGCUGUCCUGCAACUCACUAUAUAGGGCACUGAACUUUUUUUUUCUCAAGAUAAGAUUUCUCUGUGUAGCCCUGGCUAUCCUGGAACUCAUUCUGUAGACCAGGCUGGCCUUGAAUGUACAAAGAUCUGUGUACCUCUGCCUCCCAAGUGCUGGGGUUAAAAGUAUUCCCCACCACUGUGUUAAACUCUUGAGGAUUUGAACUCACAGAGAACUGCUUGCCUCUGCCUCCCAAGUGCUAGGAUGGCAUGCACUGCCUUGCCUUCAUUUUAAAAAUACAAGAUAGUGCUUCCUCUUUUAUUGAUCUCAUUGGUUUGUGGUGCCAAUCUUGAAAAAUUGAGCGUACUGUCAAAUAUUCAGAAUCACAUUUCAAGAUGCAGUCAUGGGGCCUUUUUAAUUAUUAUUAUUUAUUAUAUUAUUUAUUUUGUGUUUCUGUGUGUGUGAUUAUGUGCGCACGCCAUCUGGGUGGAGUCGGAGGACAACUUUAGGGAAUUGGUUCUCUCCUUCCACCAUGCAUGUUCCAGACUUUCACGUCAAGUGGUCUUACCCACUGAGCCAUCUCACUGGCCUGGGACCUUUCCAUCAUCAAGUCCUGAGUAGGACGUGAAAAUUCCCUGGGUGUGGUGGUGCACGCCUUUAAUCCCAGCACUUGGGAGGCAGAGGCAGGCGGAUUUUUGAGUUUAGGCCAGCCUGGUCUACAAAGUGAGUUCUAGGACAGCCAGGGCUACACAGAGAAACCCUGUCUC
rnacentral:lncRNA from 1 species